CGCAGAUACCCCCAGAUACUAGGAUGUGGGAACAUGGCCACUAAGAAAUUAAGAAGAGCAGGGUUAUCUCAGGAACUUUGUGACAGACUAAGUCGGCAUCAGAUCAUUACCUGUCGGGACUUUCUGUGUCUUUCACUGUUGGAGCUAAUGAAAGUGACCGGACAAAGUUAUUGGAAUGUACAGAAGCUUCUUUGCAAAGUCAGCUUAGCUUGUGCUCCGAAAAUGCAGACUGCUUAUGAGAUGAAAAUGAAAAGGGCUAUCAAUCCAUCGUCAGCCUUCUUAUCCACUACUCUAGAUGGUUUGGAUAAAGCCCUGCAUGGUGGAGUGGCCUGUGGAUCCCUCACAGAGGUAACUGGCCCAUCAGGUUGUGGCAAAACUCAAUUUUGUCUUAUGAUGAGUGUACUGGCUACUCUGCCUAUCAGCAUGGGAGGACUAGAUGGGGCUGUCAUAUACAUUGACACAGAGUCUGCAUUUGGUGCUGAAAGGUUGGUUGAGAUAGCAGAACACCGUUUCCCUAAUUAUUUUGGCGCAGAAGAAAAGUUGUUUUCAAUGACCCGUAGCAUUCAUCUCUAUCGGGAGCUCACCUGUGACAGUGUGCUGAAAAGGAUUGAGACUUUGGAAGAAGAAAUCAUUUCUAAGAAGGUUAAGCUUGUAAUAAUUGACUCUGCUGCUUCAGUGGUCAGAAAGGAGUUUGAUAUGAAACUUCAAGGAAACCUGAUGGAGAGAAGUAACUUUCUGGCUAGAGAAGCAUCGUUAUUGAAGUACUUGGCUGAGGAAUUUUCAAUACCAGUCAUCUUGACAAAUCAGAUUACCACACGGCUGAGCAAUGGCCUUGAUAUCCAGGCCGACUUGGUGUCUCCAGCUGAUGACUUGUCCCUGUCUGAAGAACAAGAAGAAAACAGGCAGCAGAAGUGCAAGUUUUUCCUACAAAUUAUCCCAUUAAAUGUCUCAAUCCUCAUCUAUAUUGACCACCUCUCUGGGCAUGGUGUGUUAGCUAUCUUCCUCCUGGGGUGGUGGCUGCCUCCUAUCAUGCCUUGGCCCUCCAUGCAGGUGUGGCGGGCCAGGGAUGAUAGAGCCCAGAGCAACUCCUUAACCUCUUGUUAUCCAGUCUGAGGCUUGUAUACCCUGUCACAUAUGAUCAGGGAUAUAAUCUAGAACUCAUGACUGUGUUCUUAUCAUAAGAUCACCAUUCCUUUCAUUCAUCACCAACUUGAGUUUUAUUUGAGCUUGUAACGUAGUUGUGAAGGAUCCAUAAUACAAUAUUAGUCCUAAAAGGAAUUAAUUCUGCUGGAUUAUAUAUAUCUAAAACAUUGUUAGCCAUGUGCAAGUCAUGUUUCUGUAAACUGUUUAGUGUGUGGAUAAUUUUUUAGAAAAUCAUCCAGAAAUGAACCUUUCACUGUUCUAAAUAUCCUAUUAGGAAGAAACAAAAUGCUACAGUGGCUUUUAUUCUUUGCUUCUGUGUCUGACUGUGCAUUAGAAGGGAAUUUGUUGGGCCAUUAUCAUGUGCUGGAUCAGGCCCAAUCCUCACCUCAUUUCUACCCUAGAGUAGUUGCAGGGUUGGGUCCUAAAAGGUUGCAUAAGAAAAGGUAAUAUUUUCCUACAACAGUAGAGAGCCUUAGGGCUGAAUUCAUAGUGGUGUAACUGGUGUAAAUCAGUGGCAUUGCACAAGGGCUGAAUUUGGCUCUUAGUGAGGAGGUGAUACAGGCAGAAAUAAAGUGAGCAAGAUCCUGGGAUCUGUUAAGUCUGUUUGCACCACACCUCAGAUACAAUGCAAAUGUAGUUAGUUUAAUUGGCCAACUGAAGAUUCCUCAUGCGUAGAGGAAUCCUCUAAUGGUGUACAGCCAGCAUAGCUGGCCCUACACCAUCCCUCUUGCAGCUCCCAACAUAGGGUUACGUUGGGGCAUGUCCAGAGUGUUGCACUACUUCAGUGAAUCUUGGCUUAUAGAAUAAGCCUCUUGUGGGCUGUUGCAGCCAGAUGUAAUUUAGAGCAGUUUCGUGGCUGCUCUGAGUUGUAGUGAGGGCCAAACCAGCUCUCAGCUGUCACCAGGCUCAAAAGCAUUACCUGAGGAGCUACCCCUCAGUAUACAAAUGUGUUACAAAGAGGACAAACUCAAAAUAUCCUUGUUAGUAGUGGAAAGACCCAGAAGAAAUAGAUUUAAGCUGUGUCAGGUUAAACAAAUAUUAGAAGUAGAGCUUAACAACUAUUGCAAAACAUUUUCUGUGACUAUUCAUUCAGAUUCCUAAACAAAUUCAUUGUGGCCGUAAUUGUGCUCUUUUAAUUUUGCUUAUGCAAUCAUUCACAUGAUCAGGUUAUGCCAGCACGCGCACUCAUGAAAAAAGUGAAUUGUAGGCUUGCAUGUUUGAAUCCUAGUGGAAAGCAAAUUUUAAAUUAAUUUUCCUUAAGCAUUUGUUCCAGAAAUCCUGUUUUUUAAGGGAAAUUCACAUCCAUUGAAGGAACAGAAUCAGUAUCAAUAUACUAAUCACUUUCCAUCUAUCUAGGUACCCCACAACACAUUAUCUCAUAGUUGCAGCAAAGCUUGAAUAGCAAAGUGUAGAGUAAGCAACAUUUUUAAAAAACAUACUUUAAUUGUUUUGCAUAAAGAAUAAAUUAGAAAAAAUGCUGUCUGUUUGCACAGAUAUUCUUUGAACAGAAGGGGAAGUAAAAUACACCAGAUAUUUAUUUGUUACUAAUUAUCUACUCUGUGAGGUGCAAAGGAAGGCUAUGUAUUGCCAUCAGUGGGGACGCUCAGGAUUAAGAAUAAGCAUCCCAGGUUUAGGAAAAAUUAAGUGACUCCUACUUUGGUGCUGGGGGAUAUGAUGGUGUAACCCACUCAAGGAUCCUUCUAAACCAAAAGACUCUAUGACAUUAAUAUAUAUUCCAGCAAGACCAAAAGGUGCCUCUUACAGAGAUCAAACAAAUGCCCUUUCUCACUUGGGCAAAGGUCAUGACCAUGUUGCUGUGGCCAAGAGCAGAACCCUGCCCUCUCUGGCAGGCACAGAGGUAUAAGAAAAAGGAGGCAGGGAGAGAGGGAAUCUUAGCUGACUAGCUGCUGUCUUGAAAUGUUUGUUUGGAAAAGUUAGAGUUAUUCUUUGACUUGACUUGGUCUGUAGAUUUGUGCUAGGUCGGAGAGGCUGGUGUUCCCUUUCAUUCUCUUUAAAACAAGCACAGAUUGCUGGACAGUACUUUUUAAUUCAUAAGUGUAACAGUGGGUUUAGUGUGUCCUUUCAAUCUUGCUCAUCAUUGCUAUCUUAAAUUGUAUUAGACUGUGGAGAAAAGGUGGCCUUCCAAUUUGUGAGGAUGAAAGGCUGGAAGCUGCCACACAGCCCUCCCUCCAUAGGACCCUUCCUCCCUUGGUCUAAGAAGUUUAGUCUAGUGGACAAGGCAAGGGGCUCAGUGUUGGGAGACCUGGAUUCUAUUCCUUACUUUUCCUUUGAUUCACUGAGACGUUCGGAGAGUCACUUCACUACUCCAUGCCCUAGUUUCCCUAUUUUUAAAUUUGGAAUAACCUCUCUACUUUGUGACUGAUUUGUUUUAAAUCACUUUGAGAUCCUCCUGUGAAAAAAGCCUGAGUCCCACUACCAGAGAGGCAUAGUAUUCU